ACAGGGGUCGGCUGGAGAGCCGGAGACUGAGAGGAGGCGGCGGCGGAGGCGGGGCGACUCCGGUGACCGGGAGCGCCUCAGACUGGCAGCUGCGGCGACUCCCCCUUUGUGUCUGGUCUGCUCGGAACCCCUGGAGGUGCUUCCCGGAGGGGCUCAGGGUGUUUCGCAAGCUCUGCUGCCCACCCCUUCCUCGGCCACCUACGUCUGUCUUCCCGCCGCCCCCCGCCCUCGGCCCGCGACGCCCUAGCUCCGCCCGGAGCCCAGAGCUGCGGAGAACGAGGCGGCGGCGGCGGCGGCGGCGGCGGUGGAUUCCUCCGGGGGGGACUGUGAUUCGUUCACGCAAUCGACGGGAGGAGACCGGGCUUUCAUGGUGGAAUUUACUUCAGGCAAGAGCGAGGGGCUGGAGUAGCCGAGAGCGAGGCCCCGGCGUAGCGCCCUCGAAGGGCUAACCCCGCACCUCCCCGCGUGUCGCUCGCCCGGGCUCGCCGCGCCGCCACGACCCUCCCCUCCCCCGCGCCCCGAGGCCCGGCCUGCGCGACCCUCGCGCGAUUGUUCCUAGGAAGCCGUGGGCUCGCCCAUGGAAGCAGGCACCUUUUUCGACCCAGUCGGCGGAAAGGAUUUGUUGAUGUCGAAAUCAGAGUGAAGGAAGCAACGAAGCGAAACUUUAAAAGGAACCCUACUGUCCUCCGAGUCGGGAGCGAUGCGACUCGGGCGGCCGGGCG
rnacentral:lncRNA from 1 species